rnacentral:rRNA from 1 species
GACGUAGGGCGCGAGCGUUGUCCGGAUUUAUUGGGCGUAAAGAGCUCGUAGGCGGCUUGUCGCGUCGACUGUGAAAUCCCGCGGCUCAACCGCGGGUCUGCAGUCGAUACGGGCAGGCUAGAGUUCGGUAGGGGAGACUGGAAUUCCUGGUGUAGCGGUGAAAUGCGCAGAUAUCAGGAGGAACAUCGAUGGCGAAGGCAGGUCUCUGGGCCGAUACUGACGCUGAGGAGCGAAAGCGUGGGGAGCGAACAGG